rnacentral:rRNA from 1 species
UACGAAGGGGGCUAGCGUUGCUCGGAAUCACUGGGCGUAAAGCGCACGUAGGCGGAUUGUUAAGUCAGGGGUGAAAGCCUGGAGCUCAACUCCAGAACUGCCCUUGAUACUGGCAAUCUCGAGUCCGGAAGAGGUAAGUGGAACUCCGAGUGUAGAGGUGAAAUUCGUAGAUAUUCGGAAGAACACCAGUGGCGAAGGCGGCUUACUGGUCCGGUACUGACGCUGAGGUGCGAAAGCGUGGGGAGCGAACGGG